rnacentral:rRNA from 1 species
UAACACCUGGAAACAGAUGCUAAUACCGGAUAAUAACAGAUGAUGCCUAUCAACUGUUUAAAAGAUGGUUCUGCUAUCACUCUUGGAUGGACCUGCGGUGCAUUAGCUAGUUGGUAGGGUAACGGCCUACCAAGGCGAUGAUGCAUAGCCGAGUUGAGAGACUGAUCGGCCACAUUGGGACUGAGACACGGCCCAAACUCCUACGGGAGGCAGCAGGC